CGAGCCGGGGCGCCUGUCUGUACCUGGAGCCCCGCUUCCGGGCCCCGGGGUGCAGCCUUGAGCAAAACAGGGGUCAGGAGCUGUUUGUGAGGUUGGGGAGGCAGACAGUAUGAAGCGCUGCAAUUAUAUAAUUUGCUAAAAAGUAAUCCCUGCUAUAAAAAAAAAAGAGAUUGCGAGGAUCGGGAAGGAGUUGGAAGGGAAGGGGUAGAAUUAAACAGACGUUAAGGUGGCAGGUGCUGGAGAAGCGAACUGCGCCCACUUAAAGGAGUGGAGUUACCUGUGCAUGUGGCCGGGGGUGUAUAUGAGGCAGAGGGGAAAACGACAGCUGGGGUUCUAGGUGCAUCAUGUGUUCGUGGAAGAACAGGAUUGGACAGUGUGACUAGAGCAGGACAAGCAACACAGUGGGAAAUAAAGUGUUAGCGAUGGAGGAAGAAGGAUCAUAUAUAUCGGACCAUGUGGCACGUGAAGAACUUUGUCUUGUACUUGAAAUGAUUAGCUGUUGCAGAGUUUUGAACAGAAAUAUGACUUACAUUGUGUUCUCUUGAGAAUACGCUUCUAGGAGUAAUUUGCCGGAGUCCAGGAGAGAAAUGAUGGGGCCAGGAACCAAGAUAAUGCUAGUGAAUUUAGCGAGAAAUGGGAGGAUUCCACCUCUAUUGUGAAGCAGGAGAUAAAAUCUCCAUAUGAAACAUGCCCUCCUUCUACCUGGAGAUAAGAAGACAGUCUGAUCACCAAAAAUAGGGAAGCAGGGAAUCAAGGUAUGUUUUUUCUUUAUUCCAUAAUGGAGAAUAACACAUUCAAAAGCUAUGAAAGUCAGGCAGGUGACAUAAAUGAGUGAAAUGACCUGAUAUAAGACUAUUUGGAAUGGUUAGCAAAGAUUUAAAAAUAACAAAAACUCAUUGGCAAGAAUAUGGGGGAAGGAACAGUUUUAUUCUCAGUUACUGCAGAGUUUCUUUAUCAAAUGCUUCUGAGAAUUUAAGUCUCCACUUGCUGCUUGAAAAGGGAACAGCACAUGAUUCCUCCAUGCUGGACUUCAAAAUUAUCGGCCUCUCCCUUAAAAGACUUCGGCAAUUACUGGUACGAGAAGCCGAGGGCUACCUCUUUUGCCUGCUUCAUAUCUGAGGGAUACUGAUUUUGUAUGGUGCUUCUUUUUGAUAUGCCUGGAUAGUAGAGUUGACCAAAAUAAAUAUUGUAUUUUGUUAGGCCUUUCUGAUGCCCACCUUGCAGAUCUACACUAAAUCUCCACAGAAAGAUGGCAAGAAUGGGUCAUUGAGAUGAAUGGGCAGGCAGAGAGUGAAAGAUGUACCUCCUUCUGUUAUGUCUAGUCAGUGCAUGUUCCUUAGGAGAGAGCUCGACUAAAAAACAGCAUCAUGGAGACUUUAUGGAUGAACUCUUUUGAGUCUUUCACACAAGAUUUCUUUUCCCCGAGUGUAAUGCCUUAAGGUAAAUCCAGAAGGAUAGUGGCAAGAAGAUUUUAGAUAACCCCAUAGUUGCAUAUUCAUCAAGCAAUAGUAGGGAGAUGUCAGCUCUAUAUUAGGAGUGCUUCUUUACAUCUUAUGGAUGAUAUCAAGGAUGAACUGUGAUCUUCUAGGAACUGUUAAUAUUUUACAGUGUCACUAAGACACAACAUUUGGCCCAAAUUAGAAAUUUAAUCUCAGUCCUUCUCUGCAUAGAGUGGACUUAGCCACAUUUGUAAAUGUUUUCCUUUGAACUACCAUAUUACAGAUACUUUAGAAUUUACGUGGUCCUUAUAGGCGUGAAUACUACAAAUUAGUAAACUGUCUUAGAAAACAUUUGGUGACCGGGAAAAAAAUGGUGUAUCCCUCACAAAAUUUUCAUGACUUUCUCCAUUGAAUCAAACAUCUUGCUUUGGACCAGCCAGAUCAUUCAUUUGGUGAUAAUAUCUCAUUUUCCAGCUGCACUUAUUAAACUACAGGGCAUUAGAUUUUAUUUCCGUCAGGGAAUAAUCUCUGUUGCCUACUAAUUGAUCAGAUAGAAACAGUGCCCCUAAAAUUUAAGUACUGCUUAACUUUUAUGGAUGACUCUCUUCCCCUCAUUACAAUGACUAUAUGCUGAGUUCCCAAAAUGUAAUAUAUAAUACAGACAAAGAGGCUUUUGUGGACCUAUGAAUCCCAGAUUAAGAAUUUAAGAGACGAGAACUUUCAAAUAUGAAGGAAAAUUUUCAGACUACAUCUGUGUGACAAAGCAGAUUUAGGGGCUAGGCAGGAUUUUUGUUCUGCCAUGAGAUUGCAUUAUUCACAGUGAGUUGGAUUGUGUGUCUUUGGUAUGCCUGGAUAGUAGGCAAAAUGAAUAUUCUAUAAAUAAAUAUUCUAUUUUAUUCAGUCUUAGAAAAAGAUUUUUAAAAAUUCCUACUUACAUAGUAUAUUAGUGUGGUAGGGCUGCCAUAAGAAAAUAACCAUAGACCAGGUGGCUUAAAGAACAGAAAAUUUAUUUUCUUACAGCUCUGGGAACUGAAAAUCUAUAGUCAAGGGGCCAGGAGCGUUGGUUUCCUCCAAGGCCUCUAUUUUUGGUUUGCAAAUGUUUUCUCUCUGUGAGUGUGCACCUCUGUUGUCUCUUCAUGGGUCCAAAUCUCUCUCCUUAGAAGGAUAAGGGCAGCUUGGGAUAGCACCCACUCAAGACCUCACUUAGCCUUGGUGACUUCUUUAAAGUUCCUGUGUCCAAGUAUGGUUACAUUCGCAGGUACUAAGGAGCUGAGCUUUGAUAUAUGAAGUGAGGUAGCAGACACAAGUCAGGUCAUAACACAUACUACAUGGAUUUAAUGCCUUUAUUUCCCUCUAAAAGUAUUAUUUCACAUGUCCAAAUUGUCACAGUUGAAUUAGUACUAAGGAUCAUUCCAUGGUAUAGAAAUUGUACCUCAUUUUCUUAGGCUAACCUGAUGUCAGUAAAGCUGGUGAUGACUAAUUUGUGGUCCAAAGCAAACAAUCAUAGACAAAAGACUUUAUAAAGUAAGAAAUAGUGAUAACUGGAGUUUGAAGAGCUUUUAUUGAUUUUAAAAGUGUAAGUACGUAAUAUAUGGUUUUAAAAAUAUUUGUAUUGGCUUCAUUGUCAUGCUUGUUUUUUUUUUAAUAACUUAUAUAUAGGUUGUUUUUGGCAACCUAUGUACAAGGUUGUUAGGACUGCACUAAUGAUAUUUAAAUCCUCACUGUGUUACUGAUUUUGCUAUAUUCCAAACAUACCAAUAAUAUAUUUGCAAAUCUGUCAGCUCCGGAUAGAAAUUGCAAGGAAAAAAGAAUUGGUGGAUUUUGUUACAACAGACUAAAAGAUCAAACGGAUAUUUGCUUAAAAAUAGUACAUGUAUUGUUAACUUUCACUGUUAAACUAACCUUCUCAAAUAAAACAUCUUCUAGUGGUAUGCAUACAGACAUUCAAAAGGUAAAUACAUGGAAGGAAAAAUUAAACAGCUGAAGUAUGGACACAAAUCCAAAACAAAUAAAAUUAAAAUUGGAUAUUAAAAUGGUAAAAACUUAGGCAAUAAAUCUUAGAAUAUCAAGGUUAUCAGGGGGUCAACUUCCACAUUUGUGCAAAAGGUAUCAACGAGAGACCAAUCUAGUUCUUUCCCCUCACCAAAAAAUCUUUUUUUUAACAAAGAGGUCAUCGGUAUUUUGUGAGAAUUAGAUCUUGGCCCCCUCCUCCAUUUUCGAAUGUGCAACCAGUUUGGAGCAAUAUUAUAGGCAUUUAAAUUCAGAAAAUAUUCAAAAUAUUAACAAAAUUUUAACCAAAUUUUAACCCUGUGGCACUGUGCAUCGGAUGAACAACAGAAAUAAUUGCUGUCAGUUUGUGCUUUUUUGACCAAUAAUUCUCUGUAUUUCCUGCGAGUAACUUGAGUGAUGCAAAUGACCUUAUUUUUACAGCAUGCUUUUAUUAAAUAGUUUAUUAU